AUUGAACGCUGGCGGCAUGCCUUACACAUGCAAGUCGAACGGCAGCACGGGAGCAAUCCUGGUGGCGAGUGGCGAACGGGUGAGUAAUAUAUCGGAACGUGCCCAGUCGUGGGGAUAACGUAGCGAAAGCUACGCUAAUACCGCAUACGAUCUAUGGAUGAAAGCGGGGGAUCGCAAGACCUCGCGCGAUGGAGCGGCCGAUAUCAGAUUAGGUAGUUGGUGAGGUAAAGGCUCACCAAGCCGACGAUCUGUAGCUGGUCUGAGAGGACGACCAGCCACACUGGGACUGAGACACGGCCCAGACUCCUACGGGAGGCAGCAGGUGGGGAAUUUUUGGGAACAAGUGGGCGCAAGCCUGAUCCAGCAAUGCCGCGUGCAGGAUGAAGGCCUUCGGGUU
rnacentral:rRNA from 1 species